AACGAACGCUGGCGGCAUGCCUAACACAUGCAAGUCGAACGAGACCUUCGGGUCUAGUGGCGCACGGGUGCGUAACGCGUGGGAAUCUGCCCUUGGGUUCGGGAUAACAGUUGGAAACGACUGCUAAUACCGGAUGAUGACUUCGGUCCAAAGAUUUAUCGCCCAGGGAUGAGCCCGCGUCGGAUUAGCUAGUUGGUGGGGUAAAGGCCUACCAAGGCGACGAUCCGUAGCUGGUCUGAGAGGAUGAUCAGCCACACUGGGACUGAGACACGGCCCAGACUCCUACGGGAGGCAGCAGUGGGGAAUAUUGGACAAUGGGCGAAAGCCUGAUCCAGCAAUGCCGCGUGAGUGAUGAAGGCCUUAGGGUUGUAAAGCUCUUUUACCCGGGAUGAUAAUGACAGUACCGGGAGAAUAAGCCCCGGCUAACUCCGUGCCAGCCGCCGCCGCCGUAA
rnacentral:rRNA from 1 species